ACUCAAAGGAAUUGACGGGGGCCCGCACAAGCAGUGGAUUAUGUGGUUUAAUUCGAAGCUACGCGAAAAACCUUACCAGGGCUUGACAUGGAGCGGACCGCUGUAGAGAUACAGUUUCCCUUUCGAGGGUCGCUCACACAGGUGGUGCAUGGUUGUCGUCAGCUCGUGUCGUGAGAUGUUGGGUUAAGUCCCGCAACGAGCGCAACCCCUAUUGUUAGUUGCUACGCGAGAGCACUCUAGCGAGACUGCCGUUGACAAAACGGAGGAAGGCGGGGACGACGUCAAAUCAUCAUGCCCCUUAUGUCCUGGGCUACACACGUAAUACAAUGGCGUUUAACAGAGGGAAGCAAUACCGCGAGGUGGAGCAAAUCCCUAAAAGGCGUCUCAGUUCGGAUCGCAGGCUGCAAUUCGCCUGCGUGAAGUCGGAAUUGCUAGUAAUCGCGGAUCAGCAAGCCGCGGUGAAUACGUUCCCGGGCCUUGUACACACCGCCCGU
rnacentral:rRNA from 1 species